UACGUAGGGUGCGAGCGUUAAUCGGAAUUACUGGGCGUAAAGCGUGCGCAGGCGGUCUGUUAAGACAGAUGUGAAAUCCCCGGGCUUAACCUGGGAACUGCAUUUGUGACUGGCAGGCUAGAGUAUGGCAGAGGGGGGUAGAAUUCCACGUGUAGCAGUGAAAUGCGUAGAGAUGUGGAGGAAUACCGAUGGCGAAGGCAGCCCCCUGGGCUGAGAUUGACGCUCAGGCACGAAAGCGUGGGGAGCAAACAGG
rnacentral:rRNA from 1 species